rnacentral:rRNA from 1 species
UACGUAGGGUGCGAGCGUUAAUCGGAAUUACUGGGCGUAAAGCGUGCACAGGCGGUGAUGUAAGACAGGUGUGAAAUCCCCGGGCUUAACCUGGGAACUGCAUUUGUGACUGCAUCGCUGGAGUGCGGCAGAGGGGGAUGGAAUUCCGCGUGUAGCAGUGAAAUGCGUAGAGAUGUGGAGGAAUACCGAUGGCGAAGGCAGCCCCCUGGGAUGAUACUGACGCUCAUGCACGAAAGCGUGGGGAGCAAACAGG